AGAAGCGGACAAGCAAACAGCGGAUGUGCAGUUCCUCUCUUCGCCGAACCCGGUUUUCCCUUUCGGAGCAGCGCGACCGAUUUCCGGUUUCCCCGCCGCAACCACCGUUACCCCCCCCCCGCCCCAAUCCCCGGCGACUCCAGCGACGUCACCGGUUCAGCUCCUGACCUUUCGGCGAACCGCAGAACCACAGGCGACCCGUUCGACGUCAUCACUCCCCGCCCAGAUGUCGCUGUGACAUCACCCCGCACGUGCCUGCGCUGGCACCGCGUCGUCCUGGCGAGCGCCUCCUCGCGGCGGAAGGAGAUCCUGGGGUUCGCUGUGCGAGACAUGUCGGCGGGGUUUCACGUGAGUGACACUUGGUCCCCACGGGAUUGACAGCGACUAGCGGAGUGGCAUGUGGACGUAGCUUCAGGUGACCUCACUGACCCCGCCCCUGACUCCACCCCUUGUGAUGACCCCACCACUGACCCACAGGCCUUGGAGGGGCUGAUCCUGGAGAAGUCAAAGGACCAGGAGGACGCCAUGGGGGGUGCUGUACAGGCUGAGCAGGAAGCAGAGCAGCACAGCGUCAUCAUGAGGGUAGCCAUCUUCACCUGGGGCAUCCACGGAGGAGGAGCUGAUCCACGACUACUUGGACAACAGCACACCAGCGAAGGAUGGAUACCCUCCUAUACAGUUGUUAGAAGCAACCCUCCAUCUCCAACUCCAAAAAUAAAUGAAAACCAAACCACACAGUUGGAAAUCAGCAAGAAGAGAACCGGAUGGUGGAUGGCAGCAGAUGGACAGGAGAGCACUCAGCAGCACUUGCUCUUCCAGCCCGUCACGCCUCCUCCACUGCUGAUAUCUACGUUUUCACUGUUGGGUUCUUUUACAGGGGUCUGCAACAACACAAGGAAGCAAGCAACCCGUGAGAAAGCACUGGCAUGGAUGAAAACAGACUCACUGGAAAGAUGCAAAGCAAUGUCAGGUUACACAACAAAAGGCAAUUACAGUCAUAUGAGGGAGUGUUCGAAAAGUUGUAAUUUGAAAACUGUUUUUGGUUGUCCUUUAGUUGGCCUCCUCUGUAAAUUGUGACAGACAUCUCCUGACAACACUUAAAGCAUCUCAAACCAUCCUUGCCCUGAUCUAUGAGUUCUCAGAACAGAAGGACUACUGAGCCAGGCGUGGUAGCACAUGCCUGUGAUCCUACAACUCAGAAGACAGAAGAGGAAUUCUAGGUCAGCCUGGGCUAGACAGACAGCAAGACUCUUGUUUUGUUUUGAAAGGCUGGUGAGGUAGUUCAGCGGGUUAACUGCCUGGUCUAAGCCCAGUGACGUGAGUUUGUGUGCUGUGGAGCUUCUGCAAACCCUGCCCCUGCCAAAUAAAAACUCGUAAUUUAUAACUCACAAAAA
rnacentral:lncRNA from 1 species